CAGUUAUAAUGUAGCAGCUUGUCUCCGGUCAGUUUGCUGAGCAGUGACAUACUGCAUACCUCAUCAUGGCACAUCAUUUCUGGGGGUCUAUGCCAAAACAGCCAGUGCUUGAGUAACGCCGUUAACCCCUGAAAGGGGAUGCAUGAUGUUGAGAUCCAGCUUUGCCACUCAGGACAGUUGAUGGCCUCAUGCAGAAUUCACAAAAUGUUGCAAACAUCUGAUGCUUGAGGAGGCAAGGCACAAUAUUAAAGACUCAGACACAAAACAAGAGCCCUGUAAUGUAACUGUCAAGACCAUCUAUCAUAAAUGAGCAGCAC